GCCCUUUUCCGGUUGAUCCUGCCGGAGGCCAUUGCUAUUGGGAUCCGAUUUAGCCAUGCUAGUUGUACGAGUUCAGACUCGUAGCGAAUAGCUCAGUAACACGUGGCCAAACUACCCUUCGGAGCACCAUACCCUCGGGAAACUGAGGCUAAUAGUGCAUCCCACACUCACCCUGGAAUGGCGAGUGUGUCAAACGCUCCGGCGCCGAAGGAUGUGGCUGCGGCCGAUUAGGUAGACGGUGGGGUAACGGCCCACCGUGCCCAUAAUCGGUACGGGUGGUGAGAGCCAGAACCUGGAGACGGAAUCUGAGACAAGAUUCCGGGCCCUACGGGGCGCAGCAGGCGCGAAACCUUUACACUGCACGACAGUGCGAUAAGGGGAUCCCAAGUGCGUAGGCAUAGAGCCUACGCUUUUGUACACCGUAGGAAGGUGUACGAAUAAGGGCUGGGCAAGACCGGUGCCAGCCGCCGCGGUAAUACCGGCAGCCCAAGUGAUGGCCGAUUUUAUUGGGCCUAAAGCGUCCGUAGCUGGCCGCACAAGUCCAUCGGG
rnacentral:rRNA from 1 species